rnacentral:rRNA from 1 species
GGACGAACGCUGGCGGCGUGCUUAACACAUGCAAGUCGAACGAUGAACCGCUUUCGGGCGGGGAUUAGUGGCGAACGGGUGAGUAACACGUGGGCAAUCUGCCCUGCACUCUGGGACAAGCCCUGGAAACGGGGUCUAAUACCGGAUACUCACUGCCUUGGGCAUCCAAGGUGGUGGAAAGCUCCGGCGGUGCAGGAUGAGCCCGCGGCCUAUCAGCUAGUUGGUGAGGUAAUGGCUCACCAAGGCGACGACGGGUAGCCGGCCUGAGAGGGCGACCGGCCACACUGGGACUGAGACACGGCCCAGACUCCUACGGGAGGCAGCAGUGGGGAAUAUUGCACAAUGGGCGAAAGCCUGAUGCAGCGACGCCGCGUGAGGGAUGACGGCCUUCGGGUUGUAAACCUCUUUCAGCAGGGAAGAAGCGAGAGUGACGGUACCUGCAGAAGAAGCGCCGGCUAACUACGU